GUGCUGAUGCCUGCAAUGUUAAUGGUAGUGCGGGUGAUUGGUACAGGUUUGGAACAAAUUGCAUGCGAAGAUCGCAAGAGGGGAUCACUGCUGAGUCUGCUGAAUCUGGUGACAAUGCUGAGGAGUAACAUCUUUGUUGGCCUUGGGAGAGCAUUGAGAGGCUAGUCUGCACGAGCUCCGCCCAUCCCGGGGAGCGUUGUGGGUGUUUGGCGCGCGGCUAUGGCGCAGUUGAGCGCCGGUGUCGCCAUGGAGACGGUGAAUGGCGGCGGCGGCGGCGGCGGCGGC